GUGAUCCUGCGCCGAAGAUUUCCGGGGCUAAAACUUACUACCGAAGCUACGGCAUCAGUAAUGAUGGGUAGGGGAGCUUCCCAUACGGGUUGAAGCAUGACCGUAAGGACAUGUGGGCAGUAUGGGAGUGAGAAUGUUGGCAUGAGUAGCGAGAUGUGGGUGAGAAUCCCACAGGCCGUAAACCCAAGGUUUCCAGGGGAAGGUUCGUCCGCCCUGGG
rnacentral:rRNA from 1 species